AUUGAACGCUGGCGGCAGGCCUUACACAUGCAAGUCGAGCGAGAGGCGGACGGGGGAGGAAUAUCUGGGAAAAUGUCUCAUGGAGGGGGAGAACUAUUGGAAAAGGUAGCGCAUACAGCACACCACCAGAUGGGCCCAGAUGGGAUUAGCGCGUAGGUGGGGGAACGGCUCACAUAGGGGAGGAUACCUAGCUGGUCUGAGAGGAUGACCAGCCACACGCGAACUGAGACACGGGCCAGAUUCCUACGGGAGGCAGCAGUGGGGAAUAGUGCACAAUGGGCGCAAGCCUGAUGCAGCCAUGCCGCGUGUGUGAAGAAGGCCUUCGGGUUGUAAAGCACUUUCAGCGGGGAGGCGUUACCCGCAGAAGAAGCACCGGCUAACUCCGUGCCAGCAGCCGCGGUAAUAC
rnacentral:rRNA from 1 species